rnacentral:rRNA from 1 species
CUAGACGAGUUUGAUCCUGGCUCAGAACGAACGCUGGCGGCAGGCCUAACACAUGCAAGUCGAGCGAACCCUUCGGGGUUAGCGGCGGACGGGUUAGUAACGCGUGGGAAUAUACCCUUUGGUACGGAAUAGCCUCGGGAAACUGAGAGUAAUACCGUAUGUGCCCUUCGGGGGAAAGAUUUAUCGCCAAAGGAUUAGCCCGCGUUGGAUUAGAUAGUUGGUGGGGUAAUGGCCUACCAAGUCUACGAUCCAUAGCUGGUUUGAGAGGAUGAUCAGCAACACUGGGACUGAGACACGGCCCAGACUCCUACGGGAGGCAGCAGUGGGGAAUCUUAGACAAUGGGCGCAAGCCUGAUCUAGCCAUGCCGCGUGGACGAUGAAGGCCUUAGGGUUGUAAAGUCCUUUCAGAUGGGAAGAUAAUGACGGUACCAUCAGAAGAAGCCCCGGCUAACUCCGUG